rnacentral:rRNA from 1 species
CGCGCAGGUGGUGCGGUAAGGCUGCCGUGAAAUCUCCCGGCUCAACUGGGAGGGUGCGGUGGCGACUGCCGGACUGGAGGCACUCAGAGGCCGGUGGAAUUCCCGGUGUAGUGGUGAAAUGCGUAGAGAUCGGGAGGAACACCAGUGGCGAAGGCGGCCGGCUGGGGGUGACCUGACGCUGAGGCGCGAAAGCGUGGGGAGCGAACCGGAUUAGAUACCCGGGUAGUCCACGUCGUAAACGAUGGCCACUAGCUGCGGGGGGUAUCGACCCCCUCCGUGGCGAAGCAAACGCGGUAAGUGGCCCGCCUGGGGAGUACGGCCGCAAGGCUAAA